CAUGAUUUACAUUUGAGUGAGUGGCGAACUGGUGAGUAACACGUGGGAAACCUGCCCAGAAGCGGGGGAUAACACCUGGAAACAGAUGCUAAUACCGCAUAACAACUUGGACCGCAUGGUCCGAGUUUGAAAGAUGGCUUCGGCUAUCACUUUUGGAUGGUCCCGCGGCGUAUUAGCUAGAUGGUGGGGUAACGGCUCACCAUGGCAAUGAUACGUAGCCGACCUGAGAGGGUAAUCGGCCACAUUGGGACUGAGACACGGCCCAAACUCCUACGGGAGGCAGCAGUAGGGAAUCUUCCACAAUGGACGAAAGUCUGAUGGAGCAACGCCGCGUGAGUGAAGAAGGGUUUCGGCUCGUAAAACUCUGUUGUUAAAGAAGAACAUAUCUGAGAGUAACUGUUCAGGUAUGACGGUAUUUAACCAGAAAGCACGGCUAACUACGUGCCAGCAGCCGCGGUAAUACGUAGGUGGCAAGCGUUGUCCGGAUUUAUUGGGCGUAAAGCGAGCGCAGGCGGUUUUUUAAGUCUGAUGUGAAAGCCUUCGGCUCAACCGAAGAAGUGCAUCGGAAACUGGGAAACUUGAGUGCAGAAGAGGACAGUGGAACUCCAUGUGUAGCGGUGAAAUGCGUAGAUAUAUGGAAGAACACCAGUGGCGAAGGCGGCUGUCUGGUCUGUAACUGACGCUGAGGCUCGAAAGUAUGGGUAGCAAACAGGAUUAGAUACCCUGGUAGUCCAUACCGUAAACGAUGAAUGCUAAGUGUUGGAGGGUUUCCGCCCUUCAGUGCUGCAGCUAACGCAUUAAGCAUUCCGCCUGGGGAGUACGGCCGCAAGGCUGAAACUCAAAGGAAUUGACGGGGGCCCGCACAAGCGGUGGAGCAUGUGGUUUAAUUCGAAGCUACGCGAAGAACCUUACCAGGUCUUGACAUACUAUGCAAAUCUAAGAGAUUAGACGUUCCCUUCGGGGACAUGGAUACAGGUGGUGCAUGGUUGUCGUCAGCUCGUGUCGUGAGAUGUUGGGUUAAGUCCCGCAACGAGCGCAACCCUUAUUAUCAGUUGCCAGCAUUAAGUUGGGCACUCUGGUGAGACUGCCGGUGACAAACCGGAGGAAGGUGGGGAUGACGUCAAAUCAUCAUGCCCCUUAUGACCUGGGCUACACACGUGCUACAAUGGAUGGUACAACGAGUUGCGAACUCGCGAGAGUAAGCUAAUCUCUUAAAGCCAUUCUCAGUUCGGAUUGUAGGCUGCAACUCGCCUACAUGAAGUCGGAAUCGCUAGUAAUCGCGGAUCAGCAUGCCGCGGUGAAUACGUUCCCGGGCCUUGUACACACCGCCCGUCACACCAUGAGAGUUUGUAACACCCAAAGU
rnacentral:rRNA from 2 species